rnacentral:rRNA from 1 species
UACGUAGGGUGCGAGCGUUACUCGGAAUUACUGGGCGUAAAGCGUGCGCAGGCGGUUUUUUAAGUCUGUUGUGAAAUCCCCGAGCUCAACUUGGGAAUUGCAAUUGAUACUGGCAGGCUGGAGUAUGGUAGAGGAAGGUGGAAUUCCCGGUGUAGCAGUGAAAUGCGUAGAGAUCGGGAGGAACACCAGUGGCGAAGGCGGCCUUCUGGACCAAUACUGACGCUCAUGCACGAAAGCGUGGGGAGCAAACAGG